rnacentral:rRNA from 1 species
CCUACGGGAGGCAGCAUUGAGGAAUAUUGGUCAAUGGGCGGGAGCCUGAACCAGCCAAGCCGCGUGAGGGAAGAAGGUACAGCGUAUCGUAAACCUCUUUUGUCAGGGAACAAAGGCGGGGACUAGUCCCCGGCUGAGGGUACCUGAAGAAAAAGCAUCGGCUAACUCCGUGCCAGCAGCCGCGGUAAUACGGAGGAUGCGAGCGUUAUCCGGAUUUAUUGGGUUUAAAGGGUGCGCAGGCGGCCUGUUAAGUCAGCGGUAAAAGCCCGGGGCUCAACCCCGGCGAGCCGUUGAAACUGGCGGGCGUGAGUUGGAGAGAGGUACGCGGAAUGCGCGGUGUAGCGGUGAAAUGCUUAGAUAUCGCGCAGAACCCCGAUUGCGAAGGCAGCGUACCGGCUCCACACUGACGCUGAGGCACGAAAGCGUGGGUAUCGAACAGGAUUAGAUACCCGGGUAGUC